AACGAACGCUGGCGGCAUGCCUAACACAUGCAAGUCGAACGAAGCCUUCGGGCUUAGUGGCGCACGGGUGCGUAACACGUGGGAAUCUGCCCUUCGGUUCGGAAUAACAGUUAGAAAUGACUGCUAAUACCGGAUGAUGACGAAAGUCCAAAGAUUUAUCGCCGAAGGAUGAGCCCGCGUAGGAUUAGGUAGUUGGUAGGGUAAUGGCCUACCAAGCCGACGAUCCUUAGCUGGUCUGAGAGGAUGAUCAGCCACACUGGGACUGAGACACGGCCCAGACUCCUACGGGAGGCAGCAGUGGGGAAUAUUGGACAAUGGGCGAAAGCCUGAUCCAGCAAUGCCGCGUGAGUGAUGAAGGCCUUAGGGUUGUAAAGCUCUUUUACCAGGGAUGAUAAUGACAGUACCUGGAGAAUAAGACUCCGGCUAACUCCGU
rnacentral:rRNA from 1 species